GUUUGGGGGGGGGGGGGGCUUGGUUUUUGUUCCUUUUUUUUAAUAAACAUCCUGGUUAGCUUAUAAGCCGUGGGCUUCAUGCUGUUUAAAACUCCAGGAAAGUCAAUAGUAUUUCGGCAGGGAUUCAUGUGGGCCUUGGGUUUUGGACUGUAUCGUAUUGCAAGCUCCUAAAAUAAGCCUAUUUGGAAAGCUACAGGCUUCCCAUCUUUUUGUCUGGAAAAGUUAUAAAAUAGAACAGACAGGCUUUUCACUGAGCUGCUGAGAAUGCAAUUCUGGCUAUGCAGUCAGGACUAAAUAAGGAGCAAGAUCGGCACUAAAAAUAGAAACGGAGGUUGAUCCAACUGCAGCAUGAAUUAUAAUCCUUGCACAGCAAAGGGUUGGUAGGUUCAGCUGAGGACAUUCAGUUACAGAGAAUCAAAUAAUCUUUCUUCUGCUCCUAAAAAGCCAUCAUAUCCUAGCUGCUCUAACCAGAUUGCUACCAGUCAGCAGAACUAUUAAUCAUUCUUGCAAAUUAUUUAACAUGUUAUUUCAGAUACAGAAUUUUUUUAGGGUGAGGAUUGUAUUUACCGCAUAGUAAGGUGGAAGUAGGGGUUUGUUUUAAGUUAACUGUGUUUGGAGAACAUGGGGAAAAGGGCACGGUCAGAUUUACUGCACUUCUGUCAUGGCUGGAUAAAUACAUUCUCGUUACUCCUUUGAGCUUUAAGCCAUCAUGCCUGUCGACGUUGUGGGGCGCCCAGUGGGCGCGCUCAGCUGAUUUGGUUGUCUGGCCAGGCCUGUUACCUUGUCACAGACUGGGCAGUUCAGAGUACGUGCUUCAAGGGAAGUUACUCUGCUCGUUUCAGGAACAAAGAACAGGACAGUAUAGGCCGUUCCUGCUCACUGUCCUACCCUACCCUUUGUCGGUAGCAUAAUUCAGAAAAUAUUUAUCUGUUAUUUGUCUAUUUCCUUUCAUGUGCUGCAUGCCCCAUAAGCUUAAGCCCAGAACUUGUUACUGCUUAUUUAUUGUGUUAGGAACACUUAGGUAUUAAAUAUUGAGGUUACAUGAGCACAGCCAGCUUCAGCUGUGUACUGUGUGCUUUCUGGACCUGUUUGUUUAUCUCUUCAGGCAGUGAUUUAGCAAGCUUGGGUGAACUUUUUUUACUCCAUUCUUAAAGAUAAGAGAUUGUAUAGCAGCUUUAGAUAAUUCAUCAUAUAUUUUCAACUUUAGAAGCAUUUAUAUAUGAAAAUUAACAAAAAUAGUAUACACCAAAUCAAUUUUAUCAAUCUCUGCUACUAUUUAAAUAAAAUGUUAGAAUAAUUUUAUGAAUUUUUAUUUUCAGUGCGCUGCAGAAUUUGCUACUGAAAAUGCAAAAUGUUUAUUUACUUGUGCUGGUUAAUUACAGGAGCAGCUCAGGCGAAUUUGUAAACAGUUAGUGGAGGAGAAAUAUUUGGGCCAUUUGACCCUGGGGAAGGCAUAGACGGCAGUGGGAAUUUGUGGAAUAAGACCAAAAGGGAGAGAUCAUCAAACUUGCACAGGCUAAGAGCAAGUAAAAUGUACAGUGUCAGCGAGCCACAAAUCAGUCAUUUGAUUGCAUUUUCCUUCCUCAGUUCCCCCCCACCUUAAUAUCAACAAUCGUGUUCCCUAUUUCCAGACUCCUGUCCCAGCACUCAUGUCUCUCUCCGCUCUUCCACUUUCCAUACUGAGUGUGCGGCUUAGCAGAAGCUGAGAGCAGCUGCCUCGCAGAAGGGCAGGCUGAUCAACACCAUCUCGCUGAUGGGGAGGCAGCAGCCUCCAGCUCCAGCUGAGUUCAGAGGCCUUUUAUUUGUUUUUGUGUUAUUCUCAUUAUUUUUGCUUAUAUUUGAAGAGCUGUAUUUCCAGGGGUGGGGAGCUGCAUGUUGUCCAGCAGACACAAUAAAGAGAUGAUGGUUGAUAAUUGCAGCAAGUGUUAGACGGUGAAAUGCGUAUCAUUAUGCUUUGGUUGCAUUCAAGCUUAUACUGAUGAAUUAUUCCAUUUACAGACUUCAGCUAAAUCUUUAUAAGACUGUACAGGGCUUUCCACUAGUUUAACGGUAGGCUGUGCGCCCCCAGUCUUUUGUAUAGCUUUAGCUAUUACUAUUUAGAGCAAACAUUUGGUAUAAUAAAAGCAACAUAAGCCUGCAGUGUAGAUACAGUAAUAUUAGUGGAGUUAUCGAAAUAAGCUAUAUACUUAUUUCAGCGUUACACUUAAAAAAAAAAAAUCACACCCUCUCCAACAAAGAAUUUCAAAAUUAUAUAUACAAAGAGAAAAAUCAUUUCAAUAACAUAUUUUACUUAACUGCGGGUUGUACAAAUAGGAAAUGGUAUAACUUGAACUAGUGGCUUACAUGAACCUUGUUUCAGUUUACGAGUUCAUAUCUUCUAUUACAUCCAUGUUUUCAAUCAUAGAAACCAGAACAUACACAAUUUUUAAUGAACACUUGAGUCUAGUCUAUUUUAAAAGGGACUUCAUUACUUUUAAACAACCAGCAGUAUGCUUCUAAGCUGUAUUAAAAGGGUAUUGUAUUAAAAGGUACUGUUAAAUGUCAGAAAGAUUUACGUUAUUUCCAUAUAACCAGUUUCAGAAUUUACUUAAGCAGGUGUAAUUUUAGCAUUAAAAAAAAAUUACUUCUGGAAUAUACGGGGUUUUUUUGUCUCAAAUUGUAACACCUCUGGGUUUAUGCUUACAGUCAUCAUUGCAAUUCUUUUACUCUUUUUCUGGAUAUGUACAUUUAUGGAUUAGGACAAGGAAGAGCCACCAGGCAACUACAUUUAGUGCUUUUCUCCUCCUAUUUUAAAUCUUAAUCACAAGAGUCUUCCUCAUGUCUUUUUUAACCCUAUGAAAAUCAUGGACAGCAGCUAAAGAUCUUUGACAAACAGCUUUGUUGUGGUCCCCCCCCGUCCAGUGCAAUUUUUAGUAACUUUAUCAUACGAAAAAAUACUCAAAAUUCCACUAGUACUGUAUCAGGAAACAGUGGGGGUGAAGUUCACAGUGUAACUGAAAUAUUUUACUAUUAAUUUACUAUAUACUAUUAAUUUUGAACGUAAUUAAAACAUAGACUAAUUCUGCAGGGUCUUACACAUGCAGCAUGAAUGAAUUCAAUUCAAAUAUAAGAAUUUUUUUCUUAAAGCAAAAUUGUUUGUUUUUGUCAGAGCCCUUUCUGAGUACAAGGGGAGGUCACAGCUGUUCUCUUCAUUCACAUGUAAUCUAAGAAAACAAACAACAUAUGUAUGAGGCAUAAGAGUUUAGCACUCAGAACAUAAGGAUUUGUAUAUGACUUUGAAAACUGUAAAUAGCAAAUUACACUUUACCUUUGUCCUACUGCCCUUCAGCCUGAGUUGUUGCAUUGGAAUUGAGGUUUUCAUGUGUUACAUUGUUUGGAAAAUAAAACUUACCUCUCCAAAAGCAAGAUAGCAAGGUCCAUGUUUACAUUCUUAGCCUUAGUUCUAAUUGUCCUAAGUCUUCUAGAUUUACAUAAUUACUACAUUUACAUAAUCUCUUAAGACCUUUAUCUGCACUCUCUGAUGAGAGUAGACCUGAAGCCAUGCUGAAGAUCACACUUACCCACGUUUUACACUGCAAGCAUACAGCGCUGGCCUCAGAUGCGAGCAGAUUGCCCUUUCUGUAGAGCGUGCUGGCAUCUGGGUACCUGAGUGAGCUUGGUGGGGUAGCACGCUAGCACACAAACGCUCACAGGCAGUCUUCUGAUGGUCCUUGCUGCCAUAGUGUGACUAUGGCAGAUAAGGCCUGGGAGAGGGGCCACAGAACGUACCAUGUACAUCUGAUCCAAAGGACUUUUUGUUCCACUGUAGUUUAGACAUGGUUCUGGUGCUCUCAUUUACUAUGAGAGAUGGAGUUUCCAAAUAUUGAGGAUUAAAGAAUAAGCCCAAAACACAUUGCUCAGUUUCUUACGAGUUAAAGAGGGAAGAUUAGCUGAAUGGCUCACAAAUACCAUCAAUUCAUGCCUCAGAUGUUUUUCUCAUGAUGGAUUUCUUUCUUGUGAGCUGCAGAAACCCAUCAAUUUGCACAUUGUCACAGGGAAAUUUGCUUUUGAGACAGACAUUGAACUUCCCUUUGACUUCCUCAAACCACAAGACUGUACCUCUCAUUUUGUUCUAAAAAUACCGUCAGUUCAGGGGAAUUAUCCUUGCUAGACUGAAACACUAGAAAGCAGACAAAUACUUUAGUGUAGAAUAGGUGGUUGCUAUUCUGUUAAAUGACAGUAACAAAGAUGGAGAGGAAAUGUAGGAAAUGAGUAAUGCACAGGAUGUGGGUUAGAUCUUGACACCACACAAGUCAUGAUAGAAGGUUAUCAUCAUCUGAUAGUUUUUGGAUGGCCUCUUUACAGUUAAGUCAGACUUGUAAACCAGUUUCCAGUUAGCAAAUACUUACAGUGACAGAAAAGCCAUCAUGAUUGUUAGCAAUCUCCUUAGAUGGCUUCAUGUCAAUAGUGCGAAAGCAUUGCUUUAUUCUCUGUGCCAGGAAGAGAUUAAAUUAUGGCACUGGCAUACAGUCUUCUUUUCCAUGUUGUGCUUAGUCUGCAGAAUGGCUGGGUAAAAGAUUUCAGUAGACACUUCUCUUCGAAACACAGACAGGAAAUCAAAAAAAUUUGAAGGCAUCCUCUCAAAAUAGAGUUAUCCUGGGUGGAUAUAGUCACAGCACAGGUUAACAAGAAGAUGGUUUCCACAUUCCAGGGAUGGCUGUUUCCCUUUAUGCUUACCUAUCAAUCCUUCUAAUUCCCAGAUUACUUGGCAAAAUCAAACAAGACUCAGUGAAAUUUUCUUUUAAAUCUCCACUUGCCAAAAGAGUUCUGGUUUCCAGAUAUCCUGAAUAGGAUAUCUUAUGGACUUCUCUGCAUUUGGAUUUCUUGCUGCAGAACAAAGGAAUGAUUUGAUAUCUGAAUUUGAAGUUCUUCCCUCUCAUAGCCUAUAUACUGGGCAACUGUUAAGUAUAGGAAGAUCCCGCUUUUCACAUGAUCCUGAUCAAUGGUAAAAAGACUUUUCUAUAGCAAAUUUCACUGGCAAAGAAGAUGAGACUUUCUUCCUAGAGCUAUGAAUUAUGUUGAAUACCUUUAGGGAAUUGCUACAUGACAUUUUAAACCAUCUUCUGGUGUUAAAACAGAGUAGCCAGUCCUGAAGGGUUGAAAGAAGUUGAACUUGCAGCAGUCUGUAGUCAGUGGCUUUUCCCACCUCGCUGAACUGUGGUUCUUCAGGGGUCCAACCAAGAUGUAUGAAUUCCCACUGGCUGUAAAAUGAAUCAAGAUAAAACUGUCUUUCUCACAUGCCAUCACAACUGGAGACAACAUUUUGCUGAUGGAAGCUGCCUGGUAUCCUGUUAUCCCUUUGAUUACACCUGUGUAAUCCCAUUAAUUGAGAACUAACAUCACCUGAAGAAACUUAAUAGCUAAUAAUGCUGCAUAGGAAAGCUGAUACUCAAAGCGUGAUGGAGAUUUUUAAACCUUAGUUGUACUUACAGGUUGACUGCCUGAAAAAAAACAUGCUUUUAACCAUCCCCUAGGAUUUCUGUGAGAUGCCACAAACAUUGGACUAUUCUUCAAAAUGGAAUUGAAAGAUUAAGUAUUGUGACGGAUCAAGCCAGAGGGCAAGGCUUCCCCUCACCUCUCUCAUGCUCUGAUUCAUUUAACAAGUCAGUUCAAUAUUUAUGUGUGUUCCUCAUCUUGCAAAUACUUCAUUCUUAGGUCUCUUUGUAACAGCUGCACUGGGUGUAAUGAAUCCAUUGUUCCAUGUAGCAUGCAUGCAUGUUGAUGCUGUAUUUCAAGGAUACUCUUAGGCUUUCCUCUAGACGAGCUUUAAUGUUGGUGGGAACUGUGAGCUGGAUGCCCGGCCUCAGCUGGGAGGUUGUCUGCAUCCCCACACAUGUCUAGCAUUUAAUACAUUGGUAUUCAGUGAGGUAGUUUAACACACCUUUCAGACAAGCAAUGAGGGGCUGCCUGUGUGUUUGGGAAGCAAACAGACUGGGGAGCAUGCUAAAAUGCCAGCCGUAUCCAAGGUCAUUCUCCUAAGCGCUGCAUAACAGCAGCCUCAUGGCCCGUACAAGCUUUCUAGCUGUGAUGCACUAGUGAUUGUAUGUCCUCUGUGCAAGGCUGAGCACUCUUGCGUUGUGCAGUGCGACUGCAGGACGCAAGGGAAAUGCAGCGGCUGUAAGUGCGGCAGAGGAAUUAGCGCUGCCAGUUCGGUUCCACAGCACGUCAAUGACAGACAUCAGACCUACUGGUGACAUGCGGGACAGAGAGCUGCUAAGGUGACAUGCGCUCUCGUCUCUUGUUCCUCCUGCCACUUGAACCUCCAAAGCAAUUCCCUUUAAGAUGAUUCACCAAGUCACCAUAAAAAAGUGGGUCAUCAGUGGGAUUACAUGGAGUGAGCUAGCUCCAGAGGCUGGCUUUGCAGCCUGUGUCAAGUCAGCUACCGCUCUGAAAGGUGUGGGAUCUGGGCUGGGGGAAUCCAGUAUCAGCAACUAGAAGGAAAGGCAUCAUCCAUGCCCCCAUCAUCCCUUUGCAGAAUUAAGGUUCCCAAGUAAACCCAUUUGCCUCCCUUAAUGCCCACCACUCCUGCAUCUCUCCACGUGCUUGCUGACAGCACUACCAUGCCCAGCUGAAGUGCUUGUCCCUCUACUGCGGCAGCUGAAAGCACAGGCAGAGCUUCUAGCCCUUUUCUACAAAGCAGAGCCUGCACAGCUGUUUUAACCAGGCAUUGGACCAGUUCAACGUGUAUGUCCUGGUGCAAAUGGCUUUUGCCCAUGGUCUUUGCCUUGUAUCAGGUAACUGGUCCCAGGAGCUGCCUUACAAGCACCCCAUCUGUCACACACGCUGUAGCUGUCCCCUGAGCCAGGGCAAUAGCACUGGCCUUGCAGAAGCAGCGUCAUAAACUACGCUGACUGACAGGGCUGGUAUGAGCGUGUCUCGUACUGCAUCCCUGAGCCAGCGCACCUUUUGCAAAGGCACUGUAGCUUGUUGUAUAGGGACAAUUUGCUAGAGAGGGUUAAAGUAGAGAGGCUGUCCUGCAGAGAGCUAGCAACAACGAGCCUCUAGCUGGGGGUGAAGACAAGGCAUACAGAUGUCGUUGUCUUACCCUGAUCUUUGGUCCGAGAGCUAUUGGCCAAAACAGCAGGAGAUGCUCUUAAAAAUGGCAUGUUCUUUGACUUCUCUCACUGUUGCCAGUGAAAUGAGGUUUGCCCUGUGGUGAUUCAGCUUGACUUGGAUUUUUAUGUUCGAAACAAAUCAGAGUAGCUUGUGUUACUCAUGAGUUUCUGCUCAGUUUUGUUUGGUUGGGGUUUUUUUUGUUUUAUUUUGUUUUUAAUAGGAACAAAAUCACUCAGAAGCAUGAAUAGACUUGUUUGCAAGUGGUUACAUUUAGCUGUGAUCUGCCUGCUCUGUUGGAGUGCUUGGUGAGUUGUAGGAGGAAAAUUGCACUAGUUUGAACUGGAUUUGGAAACAAGGAUAUUUUAAUUUGGGACAGGAGAAAAAAAAUUGUAUAACACCGUUGUGUUAUCCUAAGUAGGAGGAGAAGCCAAUGAAUUGCAUGAUUUUUUCCAUCUUUGUAAUCAGUUUGUUAUGCACCCAGCAAUGCCGUGGGAUUCAGUAUUUUAUCUGCUGGGUUUCCCCUGGCAGCAUCUGAGGAAGUUCAUUAUAAGUGUUUAUCACAUGAUCCACUUAAUCAAACCACUGAAACUAAGAGAAUAAGUCAUUCUAACAAGACCCUUCAGAGCAGCCUUAUAAACUACUUACUGAUAUACUCUUCCUUGGUUGGGACACAAUGAGUUUCCUUGUAUCUCAGUGUAUGAUACAGGAAGUUCAUUAUCCCCUGUCCAAAUUCAGACAUAAAGAAAGGAAGCAGGGUUUACAAAAGAAUGACAGAUAAUUUGUAAAGGAUUUUAGUUAGCCACUCAAAUCCCAGAUUCAGUUAGACUGUAAGCUCUUCAUAAGGACAGCCUCCUGUUUUUUAGUGUUAUGCACAGAGUAGCUAUCUAAAUAGCUGGUUCUAAUGUAAAAUGCAGAUGACACAGAAGAAAUUAAUUGCUUUUUUUGAUUAAAGGUUAACUAAUGGAAGCAUGUGGAAAAAAAAGAAAUCGGAACUGAAACUGCUUUUAUCUGGGCUAUAGUACAAAUACUGUAGAGCCGAUAUCUGAGCUGUUGCAAAAUGACUUGAAAGCCUGAUAAAUCCCAGUGUGUGGUAAAGUUUGAAAUACUCAUGACAAGCUAGGAGCUUGCACACACGCUGUUUGCAGCCUGUGUUUGCACACUGUAUGCUUGGUAAGAUAAAAUGUGUUUCCAUCUGAUGUAUGUAGGAACUACUGUGGUGGCAGGGAACAGGUAGGCUGAGGACUGCUCUGCCUCCUUGAAGGCAUCAUUUCACUGAGCUCUGUCAUGAGCAAUGAGCAGGCACUCACUGGAUUUUCUCACAGAUGCUAUUUCACAGUCAGCUCCACAGUCAGUAUCUCAUAACCCUUGCCUUGCUGCCAUCUGCUGAGGAACGGUUUGGGUACCACCACAUAUGUAGGCUUGGACCAACCUUAUUGCAGAAAUGCCCUAGGUGGGUUUCCGGAGCACCAGCCUGCCUCAGCGCGUUAGCGCCGCUCAGCUACACCUCUCCUCAUGGGAAAGCAGUACCCACGGUCACACCAGACCGAAUGAGGCUGCUGUGCAGGGACGCGGGGGCUGAGUCUUACACGGGUUCUCCAGGUGAACGUUUUUGUGCACAGGAAAUUGCCCUUGCAAUAAGAAGCAUCAGUCACAGCAAGCAAGAGUAGCCAAGACAUGAGAAACAUGGUCGUGUGCGUGACUGAAAAAUAGGGGCAACAGAAAGAGACAAGCAGGAAGGUUUGAUGGGGGUUGUGCUUUUUAUCUGUGAGGCAGGUCUCAGAAUUCAUGCUGGUGUCCAGAUGCUGCUUUGAGGAAAUGGCAAACCCUGUGUCGCCAGUGCCAAAGUCCAUCCUGCCCAGAGCGUUAAACCCAACCCAUGAGUUAUUCCUGGGCAUAGCCUGGAGUGAGAAAGUGGCCUGGACUGCAUUAAUCAAUAAAUGUGUGGGUUUGAGAUUUACAGUUUUCAUUCAUUGAGUUACUGGAAAAGCUACACGGUAAUCCCUUGUCUUUGUUUUCAUGUACUUAAUAGUUGGCAGUCUUGUCCUAAUAGAGCCAUCAAUCUCUUGACUGCUGAUACACUCAUAUAGCAAAUUUACACUGGUAUGGCUGUUUUACUAGGUUGUUUUCCAAAUAAUACAGUUACAACAGUACACAAAAGCCCAAAGGAAAAUAUCAUUUGCUGUCUUUUUCCUAUUCCUUUUGAAAAUAGUAAGUGCUAAAUUAUUUCCCCUCUUUUAAAAUAAAAUGUAGCAAAAAAGACGAA